rnacentral:rRNA from 1 species
UUGUAUGGUUAAGCGACUAAGCGUAUACGGUGGAUGCCUUGGCAGUCAGAGGCGAUGAAGGACGUAGUAACUUGCGAAAAGCGUUGGCGAGCUAGUAACAAGCAUUUGAGCUAACGAUGUCCGAAUGGGGGAACCCGGCCGCAUAAGCGGUCAUCAUGUGGUGAAUACAUAGCUACAUGAGGCAAACGAGGGGAACUGAAACAUCUAAGUACCCUUAGGAAAAGAAAUCAACCGAGAUUCCCCUAGUAGCGGCGAGCGAACGGGGAUUAGCCCUUAAGUCAGAGGGGUGUUAGUGGAAUGGUCUGGAAAGUCCAGCGGCACAGGGUGAUAGCCCCGUACACGAAAACUAACCUUUGAUGAAAACGAGUAAGGCGGGACACGUGAUAUCCUGU